GUCACAUUUGCUUAUUCUGGGACCCUAAGGGAGUCUGGAUACAUCUUCAGGUGAUUCAUAGGAAUAAACUAGGUGUGGGACACCCAGAGACUCUUUGUGCUAUCUUCUUAAGAUUGUUGUAAAUCUGAAACUUCUAAAAAUAUAAUCUGUUUAUUAAACAUUAGGGAUAAGGAUGAAAUAGAUAACAGAGCUAUUAUGUGCUGUAAGCAAUUUGAAUGUAUUUGGACCAUAUUUGGGAGCCUCUGAAAGACCGAGUUGUAAAUGUUUGCUUCGAAAGCCCCAUGAAGGCUCAGGUCAACAAGAGAUUUAGGUCAGAAGAGACCAGGUGGAGGCCUGCGCCAGGCAGUAGCAGUGGUACUGAAUGGGGGGCAGGAGUCAAGAGAGUAACCAAUGGAGUUAACAGCACUGAAUCCCUGAAUCAGUCAGGGCAGUAGACCAAAGAGGAGAGAAGUCUACCAUGAGGGGAUUCAAGUUGAAAAUUGAAAUAUUGGAAAUGUUUACAGUAGGAAAACAAUUCUUAAUCCUAAUUCAGUUUUGGUCAGGGAAUUUUCCAGUGAGAAGGAGAAACUGAAUAAUAAUGGUAUAUGGGGAAGGAAAUUACCAUUUACUACAUGCUCUACUCAAGUUUUUGUUUAUUGUUUUUUUCUUAGGAAAUGAAUAUUUCUAGUGAACACAAUUAAUUAUAUGCAGUAGUAAACCUUUAUAAAAGUUUCCUUGAGAAGAUAAUACUUAGGCUAAAUGCUUUACAUUUCUUUCUUAGUUGUUACAUUUAUGAGAUCAUUAAGUUAAGAAGAGGUCAGUGGUUCUAAAAGUAUUUUAAAACAACUGCUUCCAUGGUCUUUUACAGCAUAAUAUUGAUUUUAACUAUUCACAGUGUUACUUUGUAACUAAGUCAAGGUAUUACUAGUAGCAAUAACACUUGAGCCUCAAAACUUCAAAAGUUGUAAACAAUAUUAAAAGAUUGUUUAUUCACAUAAAAUUAAAAAUGGUUGUUCCACACCUGUGAGCAAUUCUACCUUAAAUAAUACUUUGGAAUGCAUGCUUUUUCUAUUUUAUGGCACCACCAUUUUUAGAGAUGUCUUCCAAGUUAUUAUUAUGUUCUUUUUUUUCAAUCAGUGGGGGAACAAAGGAUACACUGGAUAAUGAAUGGUGUUUCUUAAAGGCCAAGAUUGAAAGGGACAUUUUAAUUCCACUCACAUUCUAUUUUUAAGAACUUAGUCAUAUAGUCACACCUGCUUCUUGGUCAUAUAUGUGAAAUAUAUUCUAACUGUAUGCCCAAAAAUAAAAGUUGAGUUUCGAGGGAAGCUACUCAAACUGUGAAACACUCUUCUAGUUAUUAAAUAUCCUAUGCUGAGAAUACUCCCAAAAGAGAAUACCCCAAAUCUCAUCCAGUCAUUGCAUCUAAUUAAAAUCUAGUAUUAUCAGGAGAUGAGCAGUAGCUAUUGUCAAGUCUGCAUAUGGCUCCUCUUCAUCUGUAAAAUCUAUUAAUUGGGAUGACAAGUUUAUCAUUUUAGAAGACAGAAUAAUACUCCACCCUGUCUCUACUCCUUCUUCUUCGGGGACAUCCUAUACUAAGCUCCAGAACCAAUUUAUAUAUUAGGUUACAUGGUAAUGGAAAAUUAAGUUUGUAGAAAUUAAAUUAUGUUUCUGAUUAGCUGACUUUUACAUAAUUAUUAUAGAUUAUCUGAGGGAACCCAAUGUAAUCAUGAUGGUCAUUGAGAAUAGAAGAGGAGCCAGAAGUGUUCUCUGAGAGAAAGAGAUGUAAUGAUGAAAUGAGGUCAGGGUGAUGCAAUGUGAGGACUCAACCAACAUUGCUAUAUUUGAAAACAGACAAAGGGGCCAUGAUCCAAGUAAUGUGAGUUGUAAUCCUCUAGAUGCUAGAAAGGGAAAGAAAAUAAAUUAUUAGCUAGCAUUACCAUAAAGAAAUGUAGCCCUGCUGACAAUUUGAUUUUGACUUGAUGAUACUUGUAUUGCACUGCCUCCAAAAUGGUAAGAUAAUAAGUUUAUGUUGUCUUAAGCCACAAAAUUUGUUGUAAUUUUUAUAGCAGCAAAAUAAAUUAAUGCAAGUCUCUCUUUCCAUAAACAUCUAGUAUGCCAUCGUAGUAGUGGAACAGGAAAACUAGAAAAACAUUCCCAUGUAAAAAGGGAAAGUGGAAGAGAACAAGUAGGAAUAUCCUAGCAUACAGCAAGGAUAUAGCCUUUUGGAAAGGUAUGUGAGUCUCACAAUGCCCCUCCCCCAGUAAUUAGAGGUGUUCCUUGAUUACAGUUGAUUUUGAUUGGGGAGAAGCAAAUUCCCUAAUUUUUAGUAGGUAAGUCUCCUAGCUAUGCCUUCUUCAAGGUUAUUCCUCUGCCAUUAUUCUCUACCUGAAAUAGGUUUUGGGGAUUGUGAUUUCCUUAGGUACUUCAUUGUUUUUAGAUCCUGCUUCUUGGUCAUAUAAUUCAGGAGCCAUAAUAUUUUGGUUUUGUAAUUACUCCUCCAAAUUUGAAUAGGCUUAUUUUCUAUUUAAUUUUAGGUAGUUCCAGUGUCUUUAAACACAUUGAAGUUGUUUUCAAGUUAGCUAGAUAUGAUAUAUCCUUGGUUCUAUACCUGUGGUGUGCUGUAACUAGCCACUACUGGGUUUCAAGUUCUGAUUGGUAAAUUUUCAGGCAUUUUGGGAGCCAGUUGACAUUAUGUUGAUAGCUUGAAAUUGUCUGUGGUGGGAAUAGUUAUACCAUAGACAUGAGCAAAUACUAUAAAUCAUGGCUUUUUAUUUAUGUCCUUUUUGAAAGCCAUGUGUUAAAAAUUUAAUAGCACAGCAGUGUCUGUGUCUUUAUUUCUCAACUUAAUGUGGCUAACUUUACUCCCUCUGAAGAAAUCAGUGGGAAUACAGCAUAACAUAAUCUUGGCUGCAAAACUGAGUUAUGUUUUUCAACUGGGAAGUCAUACUAAGCCUUUCAUUCAAUGAUUUUUACAUUUUUAACUACUACUGUUUGGUGCUUAGAAUGACUCUGAUUUUCUAUCCCUUUAACUUCUUAAAUUUCUGAAUUUUCUCCACUUGCUAAAUAUUUCUGCUUAUACAUCAGCCAAUUAUUUCCCUAUCUUAUCUCCUAAUAAUACCUUACAAAAAGUGGACCAUAAAUGUCAACCCAUCAUUAUCACUGCCAUUCAAGUUACUGCAGGUGAAAUUUUCACCAAAUGUUUUCUCACUGUACCAGAUGGUUCUCACUGCAUUAUUGAUUUAACUGCCCAACCACUGUCCAACAACUAAACCACUCCAUAUAUUGUAAAGUUUUGUUAAAUUGUACCCUACUUCAAAGUGACAAUUUCUGUAUUACUUCAGAUAACAUUACCUACUGUAAUUGAUGAAUCCCAAAAUGUAAUUUUCUCAAUACAGUAGAAGUUUAUCUUCCACACAUAUCCAAAAUGGAUUUCAGCAAUUUGCAGAUGGCUCUUGUUCAAGUGGUGAUUCAGGGAUUCAGGCUCCUCUCUUAUGGCUCCUGUGUCCAAUAUACUGCUUUCCGGGUCACUUUGCUCUUCUGCUACCAGCUGGCAGUAAGAAAAAGAGCAUUGAGGAUAAUAAAUGGGGCACUUUUAUGGGCUAGUUCUGUAAGUGGCAUAUUUAAUUUCUGCUUACAUGUCUUUAGCUAGAAAUCAUUCACAUAGGCACUUUAUUGCAAAGGACACAGCACAUGUAAUCUAGAUGUUGGUAGAAGACAAGAAAUAAAUUUUGUAAAAAACCAGCUAGUGUCUAGCACUUUAAUUGUUCUGCUAACUAUGUUAUGUUAAUGGCUAAUGUGCCCCCAUGAUUUGAUUUUUAUCUUAUUUUAAAGAAUUUUAUAAUUUUGAAUAACACUAUAUCAACACCAUUAUGUACUGUCUAUUCUGGCUAUUAAUGGAAUUUUCAUUUCUGGAAAUCAAUAUCUCCAAAGAAAAUCAUAAAAUACAAAGUAUAUACCCUGUAAUACCCUCUAAGGGUAGCUUCAGAGUAAAUUUUCUUAUCUCUGAAAACAACAUAGAUGCAUAUUUGAUUCAGAAGCUGUAAAGCUGUAAUCAUUAGGCAUCUUAGUCAUAAAAUGUAAGUCCUUGUGUUUAAUUUCUGGUGUGGCACAAAGCAUUAUUCUAGUUAUUGAAUCUCUUUGAAUUACAAUGAGUUCAUCUGCAAAAUAAGAACUGAAAAUGUUAGCCAUUAUGUAGGAUUAUUGUGUGGAUUAAAUAAGAAAAUGUAUAUAAACUACUUAGCUCAGGACCUGAUAAAUAGUAAGCACUAAAUAAGUAUUAGAUAUUACUAAACAUGCUUUACUUCUGAAUUACCAACAUUUCAAACUGUCCUCACUGAGAAUUCAUUAAACCCUGUUAUACUCUGGAUUUUGAGGCUGUUGUACUCACUUUGAUCAUACUCAUCUAGCUCAUCAACUCUAGAUAUAACAUGAAUAAUUUAUAUUUUAUUUCACCACCAAGCACCAGUGUUUUUCAGAUUUAUUUUUGGGAAAAUCCAUAUUUUUAUUUCCGCAAUUUAGGCAAUUGUCUUAUAUCUUCCAAACAGACUUCUGAUAUGCUAGCAAAUAAUGAGAAACAACUUAAAAUCUAUGAAAAGCAGGAGGAGCAACCAUGUCUUGGAAGAAGAAAGAAAAUGGCAUGUGUACAUCCAUGAAGAUUAAUGAGCCACCAACACUCAUAUAAUAUUAAGAUGAAAUCCUAACUAUGCCACUUUGAAACCUGACAGGAUAAUGAUUAACAAUUUUAGAGUGUUUAUCAUAGGCCAGGCAUGUAGAUAAAAAGCAUGGCAAAUGUUAAUAUAUAUUAACUCAUUCCAUAUUCACAAAUACUGUAAAAAUUAUGUACUAUUACUAUCUCCAUUUUACAAAUGUUCAAACUCUGAGAUGCUACAUAUAAAUAUUUGUGCAAUUAUAAUGGGGCUAAAACAUACAUGAUAAAGAAUCUUCAGUUUUCCAUUUGCUUUCUAUCCUUGCAUUCUUUUCUUGCCAUUUUUACUAUCUAUUUGUGAAAUUUAAAUAUUCUAUAAAUGACAAACAUGCAAAGACAGUUCUUAGAAUGUAUUAUUCCUAUGGUUAUCCAGACUUCAAAGAAGGAGGAUGAAAAUAGGAAUGAUCCUGAACUAUGGAGUUUCAUUAAGGUAGUAAGCCAUUGCCAUUAUGGUUUGGAUCUGAAAAUGUUCCUCUAAAAGUUCAUGGUUUGAAAGCAUGAUCCCCAAGGCAGGAAUGUUCAGAGGUAAAAUGAUUGAUGAUUGACUUAUGAAAGCUAAUCGACUUCAUUAGUGGAUUAAUCCAUUUGGUGAAUUAAAAAUUUAAAUAGAUUACUAGGUGGUAACUGUGGACGGGUUGGAAGUAGCUGGAGGAACUAGGUCACUGGAGGAAUGUCCUGGUGAAGUUCCAGAUGAGGAUAACUAGAUAUGUCAUCCAACCACUUCCAGCGUUGGCAGACUCUGGUCACUAGAGGGGGUGUCUCAGAUCCUGAAAAAAGACUAAAACAAUCAUCAGCACCAGAGCAGUAGAAUACUGUGGAGUCUUACCCCUGCAGUUAGCUCUCAGAAUCCCCCAAAAGCCAUGGCCAGAUGUAGUUCACUCUGACUUUAACCCCUGGGGACUCAGGAUAGUGAAGUGCUUAGUCCGUGGCUGGCCGAUUCAGCCCAGGAAAUAUUUCCAGGAUGUACUAGGAGUCAGAGUAGGACCCUAAAGAAGGAGUGGACCAAGAAACAUAACAAUGUGGUAGCACAUAAUUUCUCCACUGUCAGUACUGGGAAAUAUAGAAAUAGAUGUUAUGCAGAGCAAUUCUUCCUCAGGGUGACCAAGACAGAGGAAUUGUACAGCUUCCCCAUGAGUCACAUGAGGAAACUGAGAACUGGUGAGGGCAACCACCUUAAGUCCCUAAUUAUGCAUUACUGAAGAUAAGAACAUUUUAACAUAACCAUAUACUACUAGCCCACUUAUUAAUAUUGAAAAUAUUUACUUAGUAUUAUGUAAUAUAUACUAUAUAUCUCACCAAUGUUCUCAAAGUUCGCCAAAGGUCACAAAGUUGUCUUUUUUUUUUUUUUUAGCAAUUGUGAUUUUUAAUAUAAUAAAAGUCCUGGAGUAUGAGAAAAACAACAGGGGACACAUAAAUGUAUUCAAUGUAAAAGGGAUUGUUUUCCUCAGUCUCACCAAGAUUAUCAACAGUCCUAUUGGAGGGAGGGAAGUGGAGAAUGAAAUAAAAUAAUAAAAUAAAACAAUUAUUUUUAGUUCCUUGAGUAUAUAUGUAAUGUAAAAAUGUCUUUUUUGAUUUCAUCUUGAUCUAAGCUUUUGUUCUCACAGCAGGAAAGAAAGAGAAAAAACAUUGUGAUUCAAAGUCAAUGAUCUUGUCUGGUUUAAAACAAGGAGCAAUCAAGAUGAAGUUCUUCUCAAACUAUUUCUCUUAUGGGACCCACCUGCCUUUAUUCUCAGUUGGUGUCAAGGUAUCCUCUUGGCAGCAGGAGGAGGCAAGACCUCAGGUCUGUGUGCUAUCCUGUAGCCUUCAUUGGUCCCCGGGGAGUACUGGAGAGGAUGUGGGGAAAAGGGUACUCUUGUACAUUGCUGGUGGGACUGCAAACUGGUGCGGCCAAUUUGGAAAGCAGUAUGGAGAUUCCUGGGAAUGCUGGGAAUGGAACCACCAUUUGACCCAGCUAUUGCCCUUCUUGGACUAUUCCCUGAAGACCUUAAAAGAGCAUACUACAGGGAUACUGCUACAUCGAUGUUCAUAGCAACACAAUUCACAAUUGCUAGACUGUGGAACCAACCCAGAUGCCCUUCAAUAGAUGAAUGGAUAAAAAAAAUGUGGCAUUUAUACACCAUGGAGUAUUACGCAGCACUAAAAAAUGACAAAAUCAUAGAAUUUGCAGGGAAAUGGAUGGCACUAGAGCAGAUUAUGCUUAGUGAAGCUAGCCAAUCCCUAAAAAACAAAUACCAAAUGUCUUCUUUGAUAUAAUGAGAGCAACUAAGAACAGAGCAGGGAGGAAGAGCAGGAAGAAAAGAUUAACAUUAAAC
rnacentral:lncRNA from 1 species